rnacentral:rRNA from 1 species
AUUCCAGCUCCAAUAGCGUAUAUUAAAGUUGUUGCAGUUAAAAAGCUCGUAGUUGAACUUCAGAUGUGGUCGGUGGUCUGCCUAACGGUAUGUACUGCUUGACUAUGUCUUACCUCUUGGUGAGCCGGCAUGUCCUUUACUGGGUGUGUCGGGGAACCAGGACUUUUACCUUGAGAAAAUCAGAGUGUUCAAAGCAGGCCUAUGCCCGAAUGCAUUAGCAGGGAAUAAUAAAAUAGGACGUGUGUCUCUAUUUUGUUGGUUUCUAGUGACGCCGUAAUGAUUAAUAGGGACAGUUGGGGGCAUUAGUAUUCAGUUGCUAGAGGUGAAAUUCUUGGAUUUACUGAAGACUAACUACUGCGAAAGCAUUUGCCAAGGAUGUUUUCAUCA